UGGGGAAUAUUGGACAAUGGGCGCAAGCCUGAUCCAGCCAUGCCGCGUGAGUGACGAAGGUCUUCGGAUUGUAAAGCUCUUUUACCAGGGACGAUAAUGACGGUACCUGGAGAAUAAGCCCCGGCUAACUUCGUGCCAGCAGCCGCGGUAAUACGAAGGGGGCUAGCGUUGUUCGGAAUUACUGGGCGUAAAGCGCACGUAGGCGGAUUUGUAAGUCAGGGGUGAAAUCCCGGGGCUCAACCUCGGAACUGCCUUUGACACUGAGAGUCUCGAGUCCGAGAGAGGUGAGUGGAACUGCGAGUGUAGAGGUGAAAUUCGUAGAUAUUCGCAAGAACACCAGUGGCGAAGGCGGCUCACUGGCUCGAUACUGACGCUGAGGUGCGAAAGCGUGGGGAGCAAACAGGAUUAGAUACCCACGUAGUCCCUGAGCGGGCUGGCAAGGCGCAU
rnacentral:rRNA from 1 species